ACCAGACAAAAAAAAAAAAAACAGAGGGAGUGUUAUCAACCGCUCACAGCCACUGCCUUUACUGUCGCGCUUUCUUGUCUUCGUCUCCAAUCCCCGCUCCCGCCAGAAACGAUGGCCGGAGUUCUGAACUUCACGCUGCCUUGUAUUUUACGGCCGAUUCCGAGUCGGAGACCACCGAGGAGUAGACUACUCUCAGUCAGGUCGUCGGCAGAAGUCUCCGAAACGCCUCCGACCUCUGCGAGCACGGAAGGAGGUCCAGGUGUGGGGGUUUCGGCUUCGUCAACGGCGUUUGCUCCGCCUCCAAACUUCAAGCCUCCCGAGCCGAAGAAAUUCGCAGUGAAGGAUGGUCAGCAAGGCGCCGUCCUAGGGGCUUCUCUUCCUAUCUUAUUUCGUCUUGGCACUGGUGUCUUUGUAAACGGGUACUCAGCAUCUUUUGUGUCGAAGGAUGAGAUUCCAUCUGACCAGUAUGCACUUGAAAUUGCUGGUUUCAAGGUCAAAGAGACUUCAAAACUUGGUCCUCGCCCAGAGAAGCCAAUAGAGAUAUAUGAGUUUGAAAGCUGCCCAUUUUGUCGGAAGGUCAGGGAGAUUGUUGCUGUGUUGGAUCUUGAUGUCUUGUUUUAUCCGUGCCCAAAAAGUGGUCCAAAUUUCCGUCCAAAAGUUGCUCAGAUGGGUGGAAAACAGCAGUUUCCUUACAUGGUGGACCCAAACACAGGAGUAGCAAUGUAUGAAUCAGAUGACAUUAUUAAAUAUUUGGUUGGGAAAUAUGGUGAUGGAAAUGUCCCUUUCAUGUUGUCUCUUGGUUUACUAACAACUUUGCUUGAAGGAUUUGCCAUGAUUGGCCGAAUGGGGAAGGGAAGUUCGUAUACUUCGUCAAAACUGCCACCCAAACCUCUUGAAGUAUGGGCAUAUGAGUCAUCCCCAUUUUGCAAAAUUGUACGUGAAGCACUUGUCGAGUUAGAGCUGCCACACAUACUACGAAGUUGUGCUCGUGGCAGUCCAAAACGACAGAUACUAUAUCAGAAAACUGGACAUUUCCAGGCACCUUAUUUAGAAGAUCCAAACACCGGGGUUCAAAUGUUUGAGAGCGCAGAGAUAGUGGAAUAUUUAAGAGCAACUUAUGCUCUUCAGUAGGUUUCAAUUUUUUUGAGGUAUAUACCAUUCUGAACUGAAGAAGCGGGUGAAAAAGGUGGGAUCUAUAUCUCUAGAGAACAAUAAGGAGGUCUGAAGGCUCAGUCGCCGCCGGCGUACUGGAGCAAGCCCUGUAGGUGUAUGCAACCACUCAAUCAGCGACUGGUUCAAUGGCUUAGCUAUGAAUGCAUUGUCUAUGUGCCACAAGCAAAGAAUGAUUUGGGGAAGCUUACGUUGCACUCUGGUAAUAACUACGACUUACAUUACUUAGUGUGAGCCCCUAUUAACCUUGCUAAUCUACUAAACUUUAAUCUCAUUUAGAGGUGAAUUUUAUACAUUCAAUUGAUCUAUUGUCAUAUCUUAAGUCAUUAUAUCUCAUGUCAUUUGUUUUUUUC